rnacentral:rRNA from 1 species
UGGGGAAUAUUGGACAAUGGGCGCAAGCCUGAUCCAGCCAUGCCGCGUGGAUGAUGAAGGCCCUAGGGUUGUAAAGUCCUUUCGGCGGGGAAGAUAAUGACGGUACCCGCAGAAGAAGCCCCGGCUAACUUCGUGCCAGCAGCCGCGGUAAUACGAAGGGGGCUAGCGUUGCUCGGAAUCACUGGGCGUAAAGCGCACGUAGGCGGCUUUCUAAGUCGGUGGUGAAAUCCUGGAGCUCAACUCCAGAACUGCCUCCGAUACUGGAGAGCUCGAGUCCGGGAGAGGUGAGUGGAACUGCGAGUGUAGAGGUGAAAUUCGUAGAUAUUCGCAAGAACACCAGUGGCGAAGGCGGCUCACUGGCCCGGUACUGACGCUGAGGUGCGAAAGCGUGGGGAGCAAAC